rnacentral:rRNA from 1 species
GACGAACGCUGGCGGCGUGCUUAACACAUGCAAGUCGAACGGAAAGGCCCUGCUUGCCGGGUACUCGAGUGGCGAACGGGUGAGUAACACGUGGGUUAUCUGCCCUGCACUUCGGGAUAAGCCUGGGAAACUGGGUCUAAUACCGGAUAGGAGCCAUUUUUAGUGUGAUGGUUGGAAAGUUUUUUCGGUGUAGGAUGAGCUCGCGGCCUAUCAGCUUGUUGGUGGGGUAAUGGCCUACCAAGGCGGCGACGGGUAGCCGGCCUGAGAGGGUGGACAGCCACAUUGGGACUGAGAUACGGCCCAGACUCCUACGGGAGGCAGCAGGGGGGAAUAUUGCACAAUGGGCGCAAGCCGGAUGCAGCGACGCCGCGGGGGGGAUGACGGCCUUCGGGUUGUAAACUCCUUUCGCUAGGGACGAAGCUUUUUGUGACGGUACCUAGAGAAGAAGCACCGGCUAACUACGUG